rnacentral:rRNA from 1 species
UAUUGCGCAAUGGGCGGAAGCCUGACGCAGCGACGCCGCGUGGGGGAUGACGGCCUUCGGGUUGUAAACCUCUUUCAGCGCCGACGAAGCCUUUCGGGGUGACGGUAGGUGCAGAAGAAGCGCCGGCUAACUACGUGCCAGCAGCCGCGGUAAUACGUAGGGCGCAAGCGUUGUCCGGAAUUAUUGGGCGUAAAGAGCUCGUAGGCGGUUUGUCGCGUCUGUCGUGAAAGCCCACGGCUUAACCGUGGGUCUGCGGUGGAUACGGGCAGGCUAGAGGCAGGUAGGGGAGAAUGGAAUUCCCGGUGUAGCGGUGAAAUGCGCAGAUAUCGGGAGGAACACCGGUGGCGAAGGCGGUUCUCUGGGCCUGUACUGACGCUGAGGAGCGAAAGCGUGGGGAGCGAACAG